CCUACGGGGGGCUGCAGUGGGGAAUAUUGGGCAAUGGGCGCAAGCCUGACCCAGCAACGCCGCGUGAAGGAAGAAGGCUUUCGGGUUGUAAACUUCUUUUCAGAGGGAAGAGCAGAAUACAGUUCCUCUUGGAUUAGGCACGGCUAACUACGUGCCAGCAGCCGCGGUAAUACGUAGGUUGCAAACGUUUUCCGGAGUUUCUUGGUGUAAAGGGCGUGCAGCCGGGAAGAGAAGGCAGAAGUUAAAUCCCGCGGCGCAACCGGGUAACUGCAUUUGAAACUGUUUUUCGUGAGGACCGGAGAGGUCAUCGGAAUUCCUUGUGUAGCGGGGAAAUGCGUAGAUAUAAGGAAGAACACCAGUGGCGAAGGCGGAUGACUGGACGGCAACUGACGGUGAGGCGCGAAAGCGUGGGGAGCAAACAGGAUUAGAUACCCUGGUAGUC
rnacentral:rRNA from 1 species